rnacentral:misc_RNA from 1 species
AACUUUUAGCAACGGAUCACUUGGCUCUCGCAUCGAUGAAGAACGCAGCGAAAUGCGCUACGUAAUGUGAAUUGCAGAAUUCAGUGAAUCAUCGAAUCUUUGAACGCACCUUGCGCCCCUUGGAAUUCCGAGGGGCACACCCGUUUGAGUGUCGUGAACAUCCUUCAACCUUUCUUGGUUUCUUGACCGGGGAAGGCUUGGACUUUGGGGGUCUUUCAUUGCUGGCCUCUUUGAAGCCAGCUCCUCCUAAAUGGAUUAGUGUGGUCUGCUUUGCCGAUCCUUGACGUGAUAAGAUGUUUCUACGUCUUGGGUUUCGCACUGUCGCUUUAGACCCCGCUUCUAACCGUCUUGCAUUCAAGACAGAGUUUUUAAACCUUGACCUCAAAUCGGGUGAGACUACCCGCUGAACUUAAGCAUAUCAAUAAGCGGAGGCU